rnacentral:rRNA from 1 species
AUUGAACGCUGGCGGCAGGCCUAACACAUGCAAGUCGAGCGGAUGAAGGGAGCUUGCUCCUGGAUUCAGCGGCGGACGGGUGAGUAAUGCCUAGGAAUCUGCCUGGUAGUGGGGGAUAACGUCCGGAAACGGGCGCUAAUACCGCAUACGUCCUGAGGGAGAAAGUGGGGGAUCUUCGGACCUCACGCUAUCAGAUGAGCCUAGGUCGGAUUAGCUAGUUGGUGGGGUAAAGGCCUACCAAGGCGACGAUCCGUAACUGGUCUGAGAGGAUGAUCAGUCACACUGGAACUGAGACACGGUCCAGACUCCUACGGGAGGCAGCAGUGGGGAAUAUUGGACAAUGGGCGAAAGCCUGAUCCAGCCAUGCCGCGUGUGUGAAGAAGGUCUUCGGAUUGUAAAGCACUUUAAGUUGGGAGGAAGGGCAGUAAGUUAACACCUUGCUGUUUUGACGUUACCAACAGAAUAAGCACCGGCUAACUUCGU